AUAUGUUUUUGAACAACUAACUGCUGUACAUGAGUUUGUAUUUCUGCAAUAGAAGAAAAAAGUUCCAGAACCAGAUGCAGACACACCUGGAGCCUACAAACUACCACCGCCGAGCAAGGACCAACAGUCACAUGAGGAGAUCAAAUAACAGCAGGAUUUGAAUCGCUCCGGAUGGGUUGGUGGCCAGGGCGCUGGUAUGAUUACAAUCCCUCAGGCCACCUGUUGCUGACACGACGACGACGGAGAACCUGUUUGGAGGCUCCCAUGAUGUAGGAGUAACCUCUCUGAGAUGAGCCCUUGACAAGGAGGGACGAGUCUUGGGUUCAUGAAUUACAGGCCCGACGGCGUCAGAAGAAACCACCCACAUGCAACAGCGAACCAAUGCACGAAGAUCACAUGAACCACCCGAAUCCAUGCUAGGCUAUCAAUAAUCUUGAAUUUUUUUUAAUUGUAUUAUGACUACCAAUUUUUACUUUACUUUUGCACAUGAUGAAAAUUGUAUGACCUUGUA